rnacentral:rRNA from 1 species
GACGAGGGAUCCAAGCGUUGUUCGGAAUCAUUGGGCGUAAAGCGGACGUAGGCGGCUCUUCAAGUCAGGUGUGAAAGCCCUGGGCUUAACCCAGGAAGUGCAUUUGAUACUGUUGAGCUUGAGUGUGGGAGAGGCUAGUAGAAUUCCUGGUGUAGUGGUGAAAUACGUAGAUAUCAGGAGGAACACCGGUGGCGAAGGCGGCUAGCUGGCCCAACACUGACGCUGAGGUCCGAAAGCGUGGGGAUCAAACAGG